rnacentral:rRNA from 1 species
UACGUAGGGCGCGAGCGUUGUCCGGAAUCAUUGGGCGUAAAGAGCUCGUAGGCGGCCGGUUGCGUCUGCUGUGAAAUCCCGGGGCUUAACCCCGGGCGUGCAGUGGAUACGGGCUGGCUGGAGGCAGGCAGGGGAGAAUGGAAUUCCCGGUGUAGCGGUGAAAUGCGCAGAUAUCGGGAGGAACACCGGUGGCGAAGGCGGAUCUCUGGGCCUUACCUGACGCUCAGGCGCGAAAGCUAAGGGGAGCGUAACGUGGA